CGGAACGUACCGAGUAAUGGGGGAUAACGCAGCGAAAGUUGUGCUAAUACCGCAUACGCCCUGAGGGGGAAAGUGGGGGAUCGUAAGACCUCACGUUAUUCGAGCGGCCGACGUCUGAUUAGCUAGUUGGUGAGGUAAUGGCCCACCAAGGCGACGAUCAGUAGCGGGUCUGAGAGGAUGAUCCGCCACACUGGGACUGAGACACGGCCCAGACUCCUACGGGAGGCAGCAGUGGGGAAUUUUGGACAAUGGGGGCAACCCUGAUCCAGCCAUUCCGCGUGAGUGAAGAAGGCCUUCGGGUUGUAAAGCUCUUUCAGCAGGAACGAAACGGUAGAGGCUAAUACCCUCUGCUAAUGACGGUACCUGCAGAAGAAGCACCGGCUAACUACGUGCCAGCAGCCGCGGUAAUACGUAGGGUGCGAGCGUUAAUCGGAAUUACUGGGCGUAAAGCGUGCGCAGGCGGAUUGUUAAGCAAGACGUGAAAUCCCCGGGCUUAACCUGGGAAUGGCGUUUUGAACUGGCAGUCUAGAGUGUGUCAGAGGGGGGUGGAAUUCCACGUGUAGCAGUGAAGUGCGUAGAGAUGUGGAGGAACACCAAUGGCGAAGGCAGCCCCCUGGGAUAACACUGACGCUCAUGUACGAAGGCGUGGGUAGCAAACAGGAUUAGAUACCCUGGUAGUCCACGCCCUAAACGAUGUCAACUGGUUGUUGGGGGAGUGAAAUCCCUUAGUAACGAAGCUAACGCGUGAAGUUGACCGCCUGGGGAGUACGGUCGCAAGAUUAAAACUCAAAGGAAUUGACGGGGACCCGCACAAGCGGUGGAUGAUGUGGAUUAAUUCGAUGCAACGCGAAAAACCUUACCUACCCUUGACAUGUCCAGAACCCUGCAGAGAUGCGGGAGUGCCCGAAAGGGAAUUGGAACACAGGUGCUGCAUGGCUGUCGUCAGCUCGUGUCGUGAGAUGUUGGGUUAAGUCCCGCAACGAGCGCAACCCUUAUCAUUAGUUGCUACGCAAGGGCACUCUAAUGAGACUGCCGGUGACAAACCGGAGGAAGGUGGGGAUGACGUCAAGUCCUCAUGGCCCUUAUGGGUAGGGCUUCACACGUCAUACAUGGUCGGUACAGAGGGUUGCCAAGCCGCGAGGUGGAGCCAAUCCCAGAAAGCCGAUCGUAGUCCGGAUUGUUCUCUGCAACUCGAGAGCAUGAAGUCGGAAUCGCUAGUAAUCGCGGAUCAGCAUGUCGCGGUGAAUACGUUCCCGGGUCUUGUACACACCGCCCGUCACACCAUGGGAGUGGAAUCUGCCAGAAGUAGGUAGCCUAACCGCAAGGAGGGCGCUUACCACGGUGGGUUUCAUGACUG
rnacentral:rRNA from 1 species